GGGCCCAUAGCUCAAUGGUAGAGCAUCCGGCUCAUAACCGGCUGGUUCUAGGUUCGAAUCCUAGUGGGCCCACCA
rnacentral:tRNA from 2 species